rnacentral:rRNA from 1 species
UACGUAGGAGACGAGCGUUGUCCGGAAUUACUGGGCGUAAAGCGCGUGUAGGCUGCUCUGCAAGUCGGAUGUGAAAGCCCUGGGCUCAACCUAGGAAGUGCACUCGAAACUGCGGAGCUUGAGUCUCGGAGAGGAUCGCGGAAUUCUCGGUGUAGAGGUGAAAUUCGUAGAUAUCGAGAGGAACACCGGUGGCGAAGGCGGCGAUCUGGACGAUGACUGACGCUGAGACGCGAAAGCGUGGGGAGCAAACAGG